GACGUAGGGGCGAGCGUUGUCCGGAAUUACUGGGCGUAAAGAGCACGUAGGCGGGUAUUUAAGUCAGUUGUGAAAGACCGCAGCUUAACUGCGGGGUUGCAAAUGAAACUGGGUAUCUUGAGGGCAGGAGAGGUUAGUGGAAUUCCAUGUGUAGCGGUGAAAUGCGUAGAUAUUAGGAGGAACACCAGUUGCGAAGGCGGCUCUCUGGACUGUAACUGACACUGAGGCACGAAAGCGUGGGGAGCAAACAGGAUUAGAUACCCCGGUAGUCCCUGA
rnacentral:rRNA from 1 species